rnacentral:rRNA from 1 species
CGCGUAGGCGGUCAGGCAAGUCGGAUGUGAAAUCCCUCGGCUCAACCGAGGAACUGCAUCCGAAACUGCCCGACUUGAGUCCCGGAGAGGGUAGCGGAAUUCCCAGUGUAGCGGUGAAAUGCGUAGAUACUGGGAGGAACACCAGUGGCGAAGGCGGCUACCUGGACGGUGACUGACGCUGAGGCGCGAAAGCGUGGGGAGCAAACA